rnacentral:rRNA from 1 species
UACAUGGGGUGCAAACGUUGCUCGGAAUCAUUGGGCGUAAAGCGCGCGUAGGCGGUUACUUAUGUCGGAUGUGAAAGCCCUCGGCUUAACUGAGGAAGUGCAUUCGAAACUGGGUAGCUAGAGUACUAAAGAGGGUCGCGGAAUUCCCGGUGUAGAGGUGAAAUUCGUGAGAUAUCGGGAGGAACACCGGUGGCGAAGGCGGCGACCUGGGUCAAGACUGACGCUCAUGCACGAAAGCGUGGGGAGCAAACGAGG